AUUGAACGCUGGCGGCAGGCCUAACACAUGCAAGUCGAGCGGAUGAAGGGAGCUUGCUCCUGGAUUCAGCGGCGGACGGGUGGGUAAGUCCUAGGAAUCUGCCUGGUAGUGGGGGAUAACGUCCGGAAACGGGCGCUAAUACCGCAUACGUCCUGAGGGAGAAAGGGGGGGAUCUUCGGACCUCACGCUAUCAGAUGAGCCUAGGUCGUAUUAGCUAGUUGGUGGGGUAAAGGCCUACCAAGGCGACGAUCCGUAACUGGUCUGAGAGGAUGAUCAGUCACACUGGAACUGAGACACGGUCCAGACUCCUACGGGAGGCAGCAGUGGGGAAUAUUGGACAAAGGGCGAAAGCCUGAUCCAGCCAUGCCGCGUGUGUGAAGAAGGUCUUCGGAUUGUAAAGCACUUUAAGUUGGGAGGAAGGGCAGUAAGUUAAUACCUUGCUGUUUUGACGUUACCAACAGAAUAAGCACCGGCUAACUUCGUG
rnacentral:rRNA from 1 species